UACAGAGGGUGCGAGCGUUAAUCGGAAUUACUGGGCGUAAAGGGCGCGUAGGCGGUAGAUUAAGUUAGAUGUGAAAUCCCUGGGCUUAACCUGGGCAUUGCAUUUAAGACUGGUUUGCUGGAGUAGAGUAGAGGGAAGUGGAAUUUCCGGUGUAGCGGUGAAAUGCGUAGAUAUCGGAAAGAACAUCAGUGGCGAAGGCGGCUUUCUGGACUCAUACUGACGCUGAGGCGCGAAAGCAUGGGUAGCAAACAGG
rnacentral:rRNA from 1 species